rnacentral:tRNA from 1 species
GAGUUUUUGAAUACCGCCGUCCGACAUGACUCUAUGUCGCCGCCUUCGCAUGGCGGAGGUCACGAGUUCGAGUCUCGUCAGACUCA